CCCCGCAAGGGGUAAGUAGAGUGGCAAACGGGUGAGUAACACGUGGGUGACCUGCCUUCGAGUGGGGGAUAACGUCCCGAAAGGGACGCUAAUACCGCAUGACAUCCUGCUCUUGGACGAGCGGAGAUCAAAGCUGGGGAUCGCAAGACCUGGCGCUUGAAGAGGGGCCCGCGCCUGAUUAGCUAGUUGGUGAGGUAACGGCUCACCAAGGCAACGAUCAGUAUCCGGCCUGAGAGGGCGGACGGACACACUGGGACUGAGACACGGCCCAGACUCCUACGGGAGGCAGCAGUGGGGAAUUGUUCGCAAUGGGCGCAAGCCUGACGACGCAACGCCGCGUGGAGGAUGAAGAUCUUCGGGUCGUAAACUCCUGUCGAGCGGGAAGAACGUUCCAUGGCCGAAUACGCCGUGGAAGUGACGGUACCGCUAAAGGAAGCCCCGGCUAACUCCGUGCCAGCAGCCGCGGUAAUACGGGGGGGGCAAGCGUUGUUCGGAAUUACUGGGCGUAAAGGGCUCGUAGGUGGCCAACUAAGUCAGACGUGAAAUCCCCAGGCUCAACUUGGGAACUGCGUCUGAUACUGGAUGGCUUGAAUUCGGGAGAGGGAUGCAGAAUUCCAGGUGUAGCGGUGAAAUGCGUAGAUAUCUGGAGGAAUACCGGUGGCGAAGGCGGCAUCCUGGACCGAGAUUGACACUGAGGAGCGAAAGCUAGGGGAGCAAACGGG
rnacentral:rRNA from 1 species